rnacentral:rRNA from 1 species
GUCUACGGCCAUACCAUGUUGAAAAUAACGGUUCUCGUCAUAUUACCGAAGUGAAGCAACGUUGGUUAUGGUUAGUAACUAGAUGGGGGAUCGCUUGGGAACAUCACGUAUUGUACACC